UUCCCCUUCGGGGGACAAAGUGACAGGUGGUGCAUGGUUGUCGUCAGCUCGUGUCGUGAGAUGUUGGGUUAAGUCCCGCAACGAGCGCAACCCUUAAGCUUAGUUGCCAUCAUUAAGUUGGGCACUCUAAGUUGACUGCCGGUGACAAACCGGAGGAAGGUGGGGAUGACGUCAAAUCAUCAUGCCCCUUAUGAUUUGGGCUACACACGUGCUACAAUGGACAAUACAAAGGGCAGCGAAACCGCGAGGUCAAGCAAAUCCCAUAAAGUUGUUCUCAGUUCGGAUUGUAGUCUGCAACUCGACUACAUGAAGCUGGAAUCGCUAGUAAUCGUAGAUCAGCAUGCUACGGUGAAUACGUUCCCGGGUCUUGUACACACCGCCCGUCACACCACGAGAGUUUGUAACACCCGAAGCCGGUGGAGUAACCUUUUAGGAGCUAGCCGUCGAAGGUGGGACAAAUGAUUGGGGUGAAGUCGUAACAAGGUAGCCGUAUCGGAAGGUGCGGCUGGAUCACCUCCUUUCUAAGGA
rnacentral:rRNA from 2 species